GAUGAACGCUAGCGGCAGGCUUAACACAUGCAAGUCGAGGGGCAGCGCGGGAUAGCAAUAUCCUGGCGGCGACCGGCGGAAGGGUGCGUAACGCGUGAGCGACAUGCCCGUUGCCCGGGGACAACCGGUGGAAACGCCGACUAAUCCCCGAUGGGAUAUUGUGCCGCAUGGCACGAUAUUGAAAGUUACGGCGGCGACGGAUUGGCUCGCGUCCGAUUAGCUUGUUGGCGGGGUAACGGCCCACCAAGGCUGCGAUCGGUAGGGGUUCUGAGAGGAAGGCCCCCCACAAUGGGACUGAGACACGGCCCAUACUCCUACGGGAGGCAGCAGUGAGGAAUAUUGGUCAAUGGGCGGAAGCCUGAACCAGCCAUGCCGCGUGCGGGAAGGAGGCCCUAUGGGCUGUGAACCGCUUUUGCCUGGGGGCAAUAAGGGCGUCGCGCACGUCCGAUGAGAGUACCAGGCGAAUAAGCAUCGGCUAACUCCG
rnacentral:rRNA from 1 species